rnacentral:lncRNA from 1 species
CCCCUGUGUUUAUUUGAAAACUAAAUCAUUCAAAUAAUAUCCAAAUUAAUUAAACAGGCGUCCGAUUCUCACAUAUAUGAUAUAUUAUAUAAUAAACUUGUCCCUAAUUUGUCUUUUUAUAUUAUAACUAUAGCAUGUAAUAAAAUUUUGCAAAUUUUAAGAGAAAAAAAAAUUGUCCCCAGGGGUGAUUUCCCUCCUGUUACCACUGGUUUUUUUUUUUUUACCUGUGGAAACGUUUACAAGAUCAAGAGUUAUUUUCCCA